rnacentral:rRNA from 1 species
UAAUUGAGAGUUUGAUCCUGGCUCAGGAUGAACGCUGGCGGCGUGCCUAACACAUGCAAGUCGAGCGAGAAAUAAAGGAAUGAAGCUUCGGUAGAUUUUCUUUAUGGAAAGCGGCGGACGGGUGAGUAACGCGUAGGCAACCUGCCCUGUACAGGGGGAUAGCCACCCGAAAAGGUGAUUAAUACCCCAUAACGCAAGAGAUACACAUGUAUCACUUGUCAAAGAUUUAUCGGUAUAGGAUGGGCCUGCGUCUGAUUAGCUAGUUGGUAGGGUAACGGCUUACCAAGGCAACGAUCAGUAGCCGACCUGAGAGGGUGAUCGGCCACAUUGGAACUGAGACACGGUCCAAACUCCUACGGGAGGCAGCAGUGGGGAAUAUUGCACAAUGGGCGCAAGCCUGAUGCAGCAACGCCGCGUGAAGGAUGAAGGCCUUCGGGUUGUAAACUUCUGUCCUAGGGGAAGAAACAAAUGACAUUACCCUUGGAGGAAGCCCCGGCUAACUACGUGCCAGCAGCCGCGGUAAUACGUAGGGGGCGAGCGUUAUCCGGAAUUAUUGGGCGUAAAGAGUGCGUAGGUGGCACCUUAAGCGCAGGGUUUAAGGCAAUGGCUCAACCAUUGUUCGCCUUGCGAACUGGGGUGCUUGAGUGCAGGAGGGGAAAGUGGAAUUCCUAGUGUAGCGGUGAAAUGCGUAGAUAUUAGGAGGAACACCAGUGGCGAAGGCGACUUUCUGGACUGUUACUGACACUGAGGCACGAAAGCGUGGGGAGCAAACAGGAUUAGAUACCCUGGUAGUCCACGCCGUAAACGAUGAGCACUAGGUGUCGGGGUCGCAAGACUUCGGUGCCGCAGUUAACGCAUUAAGUGCUCCGCCUGGGGAGUACGCACGCAAGUGUAAAACUCAAAGGAAUUGACGGGGACCCGCACAAGCAGCGGAGCAUGUGGUUUAAUUCGAAGCAACGCGAAGAACCUUACCUAAGCUUGACAUCCCUCGGACAGGUGUUUAAUCACACCCUUCCUUCGGGACUGAGGUGACAGGUGGUGCAUGGUUGUCGUC